rnacentral:rRNA from 1 species
GACGUAGGGCGCGAGCGUUGUCCGGAUUUAUUGGGCGUAAAGAGCUCGUAGGCGGCUUGUCGCGUCGACCGUGAAAACUCGCAGCUCAACUGCGAGCCUGCGGUCGAUACGGGCAGGCUAGAGUUCGGUAGGGGAGACUGGAAUUCUCGGUGUAGCGGUGAAAUGCGUAGAUAUCGAGAGGAACACCUGCGGCGAAGGCGGGUUGCUGGGCCGACACUGACGCUGAUGCGCGAAAGCCAGGGGAGCGAACGGG